rnacentral:rRNA from 1 species
AGCUCCAAAAGCGUAUAUUAAAGUUGUUGCGGUUAAAAAGCUCGUAGUUGGAUCUCAGGGAGGCGUGCGCGGUUGGCCCGUCGUGGUCUUACUGCGUGCGACUCUCACCGACCGCGGGUCGCGGGUGCUCUUCGCUGAGUGUUCGUCGACUGCGGCCACGUUUACUUUGAAAAAAUUAGAGUGUUCAAAGCAGGCGUCUCUUUCGCCCGCAUAUCCCAGCAUGGAAUAAUGGAAUAGGAGGCUGGUUCUAUUUUGUUGGUUUUCGGAAUCUAGCCUAAUGGUUAAGAGGAACGGCCGAGGGCAUUCGUAUUGUGGCGUUAGAGGUGAAAUUCUUAGAUCGCCGCAAGACGAACAAGUGCGAAAGCAUUUGCCAAGAAUGUUUUCAUUAAUCAAGAACGAA